GACGAACGCUGGCGGCGUGCUUAACACAUGCAAGUCGAACGGAAAGGCCCUGCUUUUGUGGGGUGCUCGAGUGGCGAACGGGUGAGUAACACGUGAGUAACCUGCCCUUGACUUUGGGAUAACUUCAGGAAACUGGGGCUAAUACCGGAUAGGAGCUCCUGCUGCAUGGUGUGGGUUGUAAAGUUUCGGCGGUUGGGGAUGGACUCGCGGCUUAUCAGCUUGUUGGUGGGGUAGUGGCUUACCAAGGCUUUGACGGGUAGCCGGCCUGAGAGGGUGACCGGCCACAUUGGGACUGAGAUACGGCCCAGACUCCUACGGGAGGCAGCAGUGGGGAAUAUUGCACAAUGGGCGGAAGCCUGAUGCAGCAACGCCGCGUGCGGGAUGACGGCCUUCGGGUUGUAAACCGCUUUCGCCUGUGACGAAGCGUGAGUGACGGUAAUGGGUAAAGAAGCACCGGCUAACUACGUG
rnacentral:rRNA from 1 species